rnacentral:sRNA from 20 species
UUCUUCGAUCUGCUGCGGGCAGAUGAAGUGGAUGUGGGUGUCGAUGCCGCCGGCGGUGACGAUCAUGCCUUCGCCGGCGAUGAUCUCGGUGGCGGCGCCGAUAACGAUGUCGACGCCGGGCUGGAUGUCCGGGUUGCCGGCCUUGCCGAUGGCGGCGAUGCGGCCGUUCUUGAGCGCGAGGUCGGCCUUGACGAUGCCCCAGUGGUCGAGGAUCAGGGCAUUGGUGAUGACGGUGUCGGCCACUUCUUCGGCCAACCUUUGGCCCUGACCCAUGCCGUCGCGGAU